UAUUAUAUAAUACACUUAAAAAUUAGAUAUCUGUUGCUUUAUAAGAAUAUUUUCUUUCACGUUGAAAGAUACAACCAUUGCGUGUCAAUCAUAGUUCGUGAACAAUUCGAAUAUCCGAUAUUUCAGCAAUUGUUAAGAAACAUCUCGAAUUUAAUUUCUAUAUUAAAUAACUUUUGCUGCAAUAUUCGUUGCAUUUUCUACUUUUAUUUCCCUUGCCUCCUUUCUGCUUUCAAAAAUUGAAUAAAACUUCAUCUUCCAUGUAACUCAAAAAGGCGCGAAACGAAAGUGACUAGAUUUAAUUGUCGCGACGUAAUUGGUUCAUCGUUCGGACGUCCACCAAUCACAGACGUCGUAGCUCGGUGGUUUCGCGCCACUCGCAGUCAGUCAUGGCCGCGUCGCGACAAAUGGAUGAGUUGUGUUUGCGUUGCUCCGUGUUUUUCACGUUCGUUACCGUUCAAGAGCGAAUCUCGCGCAUCAGAAAUGAUUAUAAACGUCUUCCGCGCCGUAUCAGACGUUUAUCGCGAUGCAAGCGUUGCCCGCAAUCGGCUGAUAGACGCGAAUAUCGCAAAUAUACCGAACCGUUUGGAUGAUUGUUUGCGCGCUUGCGAACAAGCACCCGCCAUUUUACUUGAGAUACCACGAAGACGCGAUCAUUGCUUGGUAUAAUCGUACGUGUCAUAUAUAUAAGCAUGAUUAAUCGUUAUAUUCGGCACAGAAGGUCUCCAACAGCAUUUCAUCGACCGCUGCGUUCAAAAUCUAUGGAAUCGUCUUGGUGCUUCCGUAUAGGCAGAUCGUGGUCACAUGACUCGACCGUUAUUUGCAAAUGGCGUGACGUCUGAGUUCGUGCGGCGUUUUUAACAUCGUUUGAAUAAUGAAAAGAGAAUCUCUUAUUGAUAUUUAAAAGUAAUCUGGGACAAUGAUGUUGAAAGUUAUAUAAUGAAAUAUCAUAAUGUACAAUGUAAUAAUAGGAAAUAUACAAUUUGUAUAUCGGAGCACAUGAAGCAAUUCAAAUAGAAUCUUCACUGCGAAUUCCUUUUAUAUCAUUUUGGAAAGGAUCUCAAACUUGAA